AUUGAACGCUGGCGGCAUGCCUUACACAUGCAAGUCGAACGGCAGCACGGGGGCAACCCUGGUGGCGAGUGGCGAACGGGUGAGUAAUACAUCGGAAUGUACCCAGUAGUGGGGGAUAACUAGUCGAAAGAUUAGCUAAUACCGCAUACGCACUAUGGUGGAAAGCGGGGGAUCGCAAGACCUCGCGCUAUUGGAGCAGCCGAUGUCCGAUUAGGUAGUUGGUGGGGUAAAGGCCUACCAAGCCUGCGAUCGGUAACUGGUCUGAGAGGACGACCAGUCACACUGGGACUGAGACACGGCCCAGACUCCUACGGGAGGCAGCAGUGGGGAAUUUUGGACAAUGGGGGAAACCCUGAUCCAGCAAUGCCGCGUGUGUGACGAAGGCCUCGGUUGUAA
rnacentral:rRNA from 1 species